UCCUCCCUCUCACUCUCGGAGGGAAAAAACUCUGAAGAAAAAAAACUCUUCCGCAUUUGAAUCUCUCCCGCCAUUGAAACCAGAGGAAGCUAGUUGCAGGCAUUGGAUUAUGGUGUGAAGACGCUUUGGGAAAGAAACAACAAAGGGCGGUGGAGGUAGAUGAAAAUGGACUUCCAAUGUCGAGGAAUUCAACUCAACUUGGCCACCUGAAGGGCGCGUUGGUUCAUACUCUUGUCCCCAUCUCCUACAAAACCUGGAAGGAGGUGCUAGAAACUUACAAAAAUGAUGUCUGGAAUGAACUACAUAUACCGUUUCUAUUGCCUGAUACUUCUAAAACAACUGUGGUAAAGGGGAUGUCUGAUCCAUGGAGGAGAGGUAAGUGGUAGUUACGAACAACAUAUUAUGACCCAUAUCCCAUUUAUGAAGCAAGGACCUCACGUACUCCUCCAAAUGUAAGUGAUGAAGACUGGAAAUCAUUCUGUCGCAACGAGGAGGAUGAAGAAGUUCAGAAAAAUAGAUUGGAUAAUAAGAAGAAAAGGGAGAAAUAUGUGCACCUCAUAUGAUUAAGAGGGUCAAACUGUUUUUUUGGAGAUGUUACGAAGAUAUCUAAGACAUCAUUUUUCGCGUAUAUCAACAAUAAACAUAUAUGGCUUUUACUUUUUAUGCUAAUGUUCGGACGACUUUUUACCUUUUUUUGCUAAUUUUCACACUUGUGCAUUUGUGCAUAAGAAGACCAUGAUGUAGUAUGCGGCAGAUUCUUAUGCAACUAAUCAUAAGGAAGUAUUUUACUUUUAAC